UUCUUCAAAUGCUGAGGAAUAAUUGUAUUAAACGCCAAACUAAAAUUAACAAACAGCAUUUGCACAUGAGUAUUCUUCUCUUCCAGGUCUUGAAAACCCACCAGCCAGCUCCACAAAACAAGCAGGAGAUAAAUUUGACAAAGAGGCAGUGACAGCAGAUGGUCCAAUCAGAAGUGGCAGGACUAAGUGCAGAAAAUACAGCAAGCCAUCUCAGGCUCCCUUAACCAUAAAAUCGAUGAGUUUAUGCUCAACUGAGCGAUAAGAAAUACUCAUGAAAUGUCCAAGGGUGAAUCAGGGUGGCUGGGUUACCAAGUUCCUCUCUCCGCUAAGUGCAAAGCGCAUGAGUAAUGAGCCCUUUCCACAUCAUCAAAGGCAAGGAAAAUAUUUAUCAGUUAAAUAUUGUGUCCCCUUUCCUCUAUUUCUGUGUCUGAAUAUCUCUUUUGGCAAUUGGUCCUUUUUCUUAAAUACCUUUCUCUCUUUAAAUAUAAAUAUAAACAAAGGAAUAAAACUUCCACUAGCU